rnacentral:rRNA from 1 species
UGCGUAGGUGGCCCGAUCAGUCAGAUGUGAAAGCCCCGGGCUUAACCUGGGAACUGCAUUUGAUACUGUCGAGCUAGAGUAUGGUAGAGGGAAGUGGAAUUCCGGGUGUAGCGGUGAAAUGCGUAGAUAUCCGGAGGAACACCAGUGGCGAAGGCGACUUCCUGGACCAAUACUGACACUGAGGCACGAAAGCGUGGGUAGCAAACAGGAUUAGAUACCCUGGUAGUCC